GAUGAACGCUGGCGGCGUGCCUAAUACAUGCAAGUCGAGCGAAUGGAUUAAGAGCUUGCUCUUAUGAAGUUAGCGGCGGACGGGUGAGUAACACGUGGGUAACCUGCCCAUAAGACUGGGAUAACUCCGGGAAACCGGGGCUAAUACCGGAUAACAUUUUGAACCGCAUGGUUCGAAAUUGAAAGGCGGCUUCGGCUGUCACUUAUGGAUGGACCCGCGUCGCAUUAGCUAGUUGGCGAGGUAACGGCUCACCAAGGCAACGAUGCGUAGCCGACCUGAGAGGGUGAUCGGCCACGCUGGGACUGAGACACGGCCCAGACUCCUACGGGAGGCAGUAGUAGGGAAUCUUCCGCAAUGGACGAAAGUCUGACGGAGCAACGCCGCGUGAGUGAUGAAGGCUUUCGGGUCGUAAAACUCUGUUGUUAGGGAAGAACAAGUGCUAGUUGAAUAAGCUGGCACCUUGACGGUACCUAACCAGAAAGCCACGGCUAACUACGUGCCAGCCGCCGCCGUAA
rnacentral:rRNA from 1 species